AACAUCGCGCACCUGCGGGAACCUGCGGAAGGAUCAUUACAGAGUUGCAAAACUCCCUAAACCAUUGUGAACGUUACCUAAACCGUUGCUUCGGCGGGCGGCCCGGGUCCUUCCCGGCGCCCAUCGGCCCUCGCGGGCGCCCGCCGGAGGUAAACCAAACUAUUGCAUUGUAUGGCCUCUCUGAGUCUUCUGUACUGCAUAAGUCAAAACUUUCAACAAUGGAUCUCAGAUCGGAAGAGC
rnacentral:misc_RNA from 1 species